GAUGAACGCUGGCGGCGUGCCUAAUACAUGCAAGUCGAGCGAACAGACGAUGAUCUUGCUCCUCUGACGUUAGCGGCGGACGUGUGAGUAACACGUGUAUAACCUACCUAUAAUACUGAUAUAACUUCGGGAAACCGGAGCUAAUACCGUAUAAUAUAUUGAACCGCAUGGUUCAAUAGUGAAAGACGGUUUUUCUGUCACUUAUAGAUGGAUCCGCGCCUCAUUAGCUAGUUGGUAAGGUAACGGCUUACUAAGGCAACGAUGCGUAGCCGACGUGAGAGGGGGAUCGGGAAAAAAGGAAGUGAGAAACGGUCAAGAGACAUAAGGGAGGCAGAAGUAGGGAAUGUUGAGAAAUGGGCGAAAGCUUGAAGGAGAAACGGAGGGUGAGUGAUGAAGGUCUGCGGAUGGUAAAACGGUGUUAUUAGGGAAGAACAAAUGUGUAAGUAACGAAGCAAGUGUGGAGGGAAUAUAAAAAGAAAGACAGGGAUAAUUAGGU
rnacentral:rRNA from 1 species